rnacentral:rRNA from 1 species
CGGGGUUGCGGACAGUGUCUGGUGGGUAGUUUGACUGGGGCGGUCUCCUCCUAAAGAGUAACGGAGGAGCACGAAGGUUGGCUAAUCCUGGUCGGACAUCAGGAGGUUAGUGCAAUGGCAUAAGCCAGCUUGACUGCGAGCGUGACGGCGCGAGCAGGUGCGAAAGCAGGUCAUAGUGAUCCGGUGGUUCUGAAUGGAAGGGCCAUCGCUCAACGGAUAAAAGGUACUCCGGGGAUAACAGGCUGAUACCGCCCAAGAGUUCAUAUCGACGGCGGUGUUUGGCACCUCGAUGUCGGCUCAUCACAUCCUGGGGCUGAAGUAGGUCCCAAGGGUAUGGCUGUUCGCCAUUUAAAGUGGUACGCGAGCUGGGUUUAGAACGUCGUGAGACAGUUCGGUCCCUAUCUGCCGUGGGCGCUGGAGAACUGAGGGGGGCUGCUCCUAGUACGAGAGGACCGGAGUGGACGCAUCACUGGUGUUCGGGUUGUCAUGCCAAUGGCACUGCCCGGUAGCUAAAUGCGGAAGAGAUAAGUGCUGAAAGCAUCUAAGCACGAAACUUGCCCCGAGAUGAGUUCUCCCUGACUCCUUGAGGGUCCUGAAGGAACGUUGAAGACGACGACGUUGAUAGGCCGGGUGUGUAAGCGCAGCGAUGCGUUGAGCUAACCGGUACUAAUGAACCGUGAGGCUUAACCUUACAACGCCGAAG